UAUGUUUUUUAUAAAAACCUU
rnacentral:piRNA from 1 species